UCCGCAAGAUUGCCCGUCUCCAAUUCUCUUAAUCCGAUCUCUCUUUUGAUUUCAUGGGAUUCUGUAUCUCGGAUAAGGUUCUUUUUGCCGGUGGACACUUGUUCUUGUCGCUCGCCAUUGCUAUGUCACCGUUCGUCUCCUAGCCUAGGGUUUUGCACCAACGAACGAGGAAUUGGGAUGUGGCAGCUGGAUAAUCUUGGGAAGAACAGACCAUGAAGAUGAAGAUGUUGCCUACAAUCCCUGGCAUGGCUCGGAUAAUUUAGGGAGUCAGUGCUGUUGUUUGGCAUCGUAUUCUAUGCUCUCUGUGCUUUCAUAAAGGAUGGUCCAUAACAAGGUGCUUGAUAUUUGCUCUGUUCCUCACAAUGUGUUGCUAUCAGACCUUUGUCUUAUGUUCGUUGCAUUAUUGACCAAAUGUGCUCUUCUUUGAAGCAAUGGUGCAGAGUCAUAGAUGAGAUUCUGUCGAUGAAAGAUAUUGCAUUGUGUAGAAUCAUUUUGAUGGCUGUUAAUCUGUAUCACUCACCAAGGUAUCUCAAGCAGUUUCAGAAGCAGAAUCUUGUGCCGGAGGGCCAAGUAGAUAUAAGUCGGUGGCUAUCGACCGUGAAAACAUGAACAGAGACCACGAGACGAGCGAUACCGAUGAGCCGCAUCAGAAUGCAACUUGAAUUGGUCAGUGAACCGAACCCUUUUUUUCUCCUGUUGAUGUGGAGGCAAUAACUUUUUCUCUCUUUUUUUUGUUUGCAUCAAAAUGAAACACAUAAUCUAUUUCUUGGCGGGUGGUCACCCCCUCUCCUUAUUCUAAGGAUCUCAAGAAAAUCAAAGUGGCAACCCAAGUGCUUCAAACAUUGCAAUCGCUUGCACUGCUUUACCCGGAGAAAAACUAACGUGUAAGAAGUGAAGUAGCCUGUUGGGCGUACCCGAGGAUAGCAGGAAAAAUAUUCCCGGAUAAGCCUCAGCUCACAGUUAUCGGGAAUCAUCCCUAUGCCCACCUCGCAAGAAGGGACAUCAAACCUGCACCCAGAAGAAGUGCAAGAUGUGCUCCGAAUUGCAGCCUUCCAUUACUCUGCAUUCUGGGGUUCUUGAAAUCAGCGGCCAAGAGAUCGACCAGAGACAUGUAUAUUAGAAUUCCUGCAGAGGCAGCAUUGAAGAUGCCUUGGAUGAUAAGAGCAGUCGAGCUAGUCUCGUCGUAGCUAGAGGAAAUCGCAAUGCCGAGGGAGAUGCCGAUCGGAGCUGUGAGAGAGAAGAAGACUGCCAUGAUCACUGUUGCCUUGGCUCUGAACUUUGCCUGCCAGGGUAGAGGCAACAUAUGUAACAAGGCAAAACAUCAAAGCAGUAUCACUGUAUCAUCAAGUUUGAUAGUUUUAUGAACACUAAAAUGAACAAUUUCUUAAGCCGGUCGGGUUGUGUUGCUGAACACUAAAUCAAGUCAAAAUAUGCCAUAUUAUUGAUCUUAAUGUUAA